rnacentral:rRNA from 1 species
UACAGAGGUCCCGAGCGUUGUUCGGAUUCACUGGGCGUAAAGGGUGCGUAGGCGGUCGGGUAAGUCUGAUGUGAAAUCUCACAGCUUAACUGUGAAACUGCAUUGGAUACUAUUCGGCUUGAGGUCUGGAGGGGGGACUGGAAUUCUCGGUGUGGCAGUGAAAUGCGUAGAUAUCGAGAGGAACACCAGUGGCGAAGGCGGCUUCCUGGUCUGCGACUGACGCUGUGGCGCGAAAGCUAGGGGAGCAAACGGG